rnacentral:rRNA from 1 species
UUUAUGGAGAGUUUGAUCCUGGCUCAGGAUGAACGCUGGCGGCGUGCCUAAUACAUGCAAGUCGAGCGAACGGACGAGAAGCUUGCUUCUCUGAUGUUAGCGGCGGACGGGUGAGUAACACGUGGAUAACCUACCUAUAAGACUGGGAUAACUUCGGGAAACCGGAGCUAAUACCGGAUAAUAUUUUGAACCGCAUGGUUCAAAAGUGAAAGACGGUCUUGCUGUCACUUAUAGAUGGAUCCGCGCUGCAUUAGCUAGUUGGUAAGGUAACGGCUUACCAAGGCAACGAUGCAUAGCCGACCUGAGAGGGUGAUCGGCCACACUGGAACUGAGACACGGUCCAGACUCCUACGGGAGGCAGCAGUAGGGAAUCUUCCGCAAUGGGCGAAAGCCUGACGGAGCAACGCCGCGUGAGUGAUGAAGGUCUUCGGAUCGUAAAACUCUGUUAUUAGGGAAGAACAUAUGUGUAAGUAACUGUGCACAUCUUGACGGUACCUAAUCAGAAAGCCACGGCUAACUACGUGCCAGCAGCCGCGGUAAUACGUAGGUGGCAAGCGUUAUCCG